UACGGGGGGGCAAGCGGUUGUUCGGAAUUACUGGGCGUAAAGGGCGCGUAGGCGGCCUUCUAAGUCAGACGUGAAAUCCCUCGGCUCAACCGAGGAACUGCGUCUGAUACUGGAAGGCUUGAAUCCGGGAGAGGGAUGUGGAAUUCCAGGUGUAGCGGUGAAAUGCGUAGAUAUCUGGAGGAACACCGGUGGCGAAGGCGGCAUCCUGGACCGGUAUUGACGCUGAGGCGCGAAAGCUAGGGGAGCAAACGGGG
rnacentral:rRNA from 1 species